GCUCCUCAUUGUUGCAGAGUGUUCCGUUGUAUGGCCCUGACUGUCCCACCUCAGGCUGGCACUGGCACUCAGGGGUCUCCCCAUCACCUGCAAGGCAAUUCUUGCUGCCCUGCCGUUACAUUCUUCUGCAUUCUGCCUCUUCCUGUGCCCACGUUCAUCGUAGCCUGAGCAUGAUCUAUCACAGGCAGCAAAACCGUGAGAGCAAGGAGGCGGAGGCCAGAGCCCUGAGUCGGGCCCGCUAAAAGCCACACCAGCACUGCUUGUGGGAAGUGGGGAUGACGUGGAGGGGUGGGGGAGAGCACGGUGCCGGAACAGGCCGGCCUGGGCUCCUCUGCCACCACGAAGGUGGGUGGCCAGGGUCCCUCAGUGUCACUGUGAUUAUUAUGCAGGGGGUGAUGUCACUGGGAUGUCAGAUUUCUGGCCACCUGGCAAAGGUAGGAGAGGAUGAGUUGACAGGAGGGCCGCACAGGCUACUGUGGCCCCAAGUGUGCAGAUGGCUGCAGGGACAGAGAGGCAAUCGGAUGGUUAGGACUGGUGCAUGGACAGGAUGGGAAGGCAAAGAGAAGGAAUAAGAAGGGGAGUUGCCAAGGUGCAGCUGUCUGCAGAAAGUGGGGAGUCCCCUUCUGAACAGGGUCCCCCCGCUCCUUCCCUGGAGCCCCUCCUUGUCAGGCACAGUACACGCACACAGGCGGCGUUGAUGAAGACAGGUCUGAACUCCCAGGACAGGACCUCUAGAUGGAAGGAGACAAUGUCCCUCCCACCUGCCCACCUGAGGGGGCCUCAUGUGACCCCUAGGGCCUACAAACUGUCGGGCAGCUGCAGGGUCUUGGCUGUUGCUCUGUAGGGCCUCGGGAAGGAGGCAGGGUUGAGUCCAUUAGCUCGGUGCUGUUCUCUGGAGAGCGUGCAGGGGGAUUAUGGGCUGCUUUGCCGCCUCCCGACUUUCGGGGACCACCCCUUUGGGACUGGAUCCAAGAAGUGAGCGAUACCAUUAUUAGACGUGAUGCGCACGGGACCCUGUGCACUUGUGGCCCUCUCCUCCCUCGGGAUGUGUGAGAUCUGGGAGCUGGUGCAGGUGUUGGAUGAAUGGGACACCUGGCUUCUUGGACACCACUGGGGCACGAAAACACUGUAAAGCCUCCUGAGGCCUCAUCUGCCUGGAAAUAAUCCUGCAGCGCAAAUUUUCCAGAACCCUGCCUCUUCCCCAGCCACAGAGCCCAGGCAUUUUGCUUCCUGAUCCCACAAAUAUACUUGGGAGUUUCA